GUCAUAAACAUAAUUUUAUAACAAGACAGGAGGCUCAUAUUAUGCAUUAACUUUCUUUACUAAACUCCAGCAGCAAAGAAUAUUUCAAUAAAGUUUAGUGAAACAAUAUAAGAGGAAAAAAAACAGUCAAGUAACUGCAAUGGAAUAUCCAAUAGCCAAUCAGCAUCCGGGGUAGUUUAUAUGUAGGGAAUGAUCCCCAAUCCUCUUCUUCUUUCUUUGCUGCUCCAGUGGAGAUAAGUAACAUAUAUACAUGCAUUUCAG